rnacentral:ncRNA from 2 species
GUGAAUAUAUGCGUCAAAGGUGCUAUUUAAUAGCUUAAUAGGGAAAGUGGUGAAAAUCCACUGCAGCCCCCGCUACUGUAGACGGAGACGAAUCCUAACCACUGGGAAACUGGGAAGGUAGGAGGAGGAUGACCCGUGAGCCAGGAGACCUGCCUUUGAUGUGCUAAUCCU